rnacentral:rRNA from 1 species
UACGAAGGGGGGCUAGCGUUGUUCGGAAUCACUGGGCGUAAAGCGCACGUAGGCGGAUCUUUUAAGUCAGGGGUGAAAUCCCAAGGCUCAACCUUGGAACUGCCUUUGAUACUGGAGAUCUUGAGUCCGGGAGAGGUGAGUGGAACUGCGAGUAUAGAGGUGAAAUUCGUAGAUAUUCGCAAGAACACCAGUGGCGAAGGCGGCUCACUGGCCCGGUACUGACGCUGAGGUGCGAAAGCGUGGGGAGCAAACGG